rnacentral:misc_RNA from 1 species
AGAAAGUAUAGUGCAAAGAUUUAGGAAUAUCCUCGAUCAACAGAGAGAGAGAGAAAAGGAUUGAAGAAAUUUGGAGGAGAAUUGACCUUCGAUUGUGAAGAAUCAAUGGCUUCAGAGACUGAUAGAAAAGCAGCAACAGAGUCUACUAAGACAAGCACAGUUCCACCAUUGAAGCCCACAUGGGUUCUCCCAUACAGAACUGAAAGACUUCAGCAGCUUUACAGUAUAGGAAAAAAAUUAGGGCAAGGCCAAUUUGGUACCACCCAUUUAUGUACAGAAAAAUCAACUACUACUCUUUAUGCUUGCAAGACUAUACCAAAGAAGAAGCUCAUAUGUAAGGAAGAUUAUGAGGAUGUUUGGAGGGAGAUUCAGAUAAUGCACCAUCUAUCUGAGCAUCCAAAUGUUGUUAGAAUAAAGGGUACUUAUGAAAAUGCUUUAUAUGUACAUAUAGUUAUGGAGCUUUGUGCUGGUGGGGAGCUUUUUGAUAGGAUUUUGCAAAAGGGUCAUUACAGCGAGAGAGAAGCGGCCAAGCUUAUUAAGACAAUUGUUGGAGUGGUUGAGACUUGCCACUCUCUUGGGGUUAUGCAUAGGGAUCUCAAGCCUGAAAACUUUUUG